rnacentral:rRNA from 1 species
GACGAACGCUGGCGGCGUGCUUAACACAUGCAAGUCGAACGGAAAGGCCCUGCUUUUGUGGGGUGCUCGAGUGGCGAACGGGUGAGUAACACGUGAGUAACCUGCCCUUGACUUUGGGAUAACUUCAGGAAACUGGGGCUAAUACCGGAUAGGAGCUCCUGCUGCAUGGUGGGGGUUGGAAAGUUUCGGCGGUUGGGGAUGGACUCGCGGCUUAUCAGCUUGUUGGUGGGGUAGUGGCUUACCAAGGCUUUGACGGGUAGCCGGCCUGAGAGGGUGACCGGCCACAUUGGGACUGAGAUAAGGCCCAGACUCCUAAGGGAGGCAGCAGUGGGGAAUAUUGCACAAUGGGCGGAAGCCUGAUGCAGCAACGCCGCGUGCGGGAUGACGGCCUUCGGGUUGUAAACCGCUUUCGCCUGUGACGAAGCGUGAGUGACGGUAAUGGGUAAAGAAGCACCGGCUAACUACGUG